rnacentral:tRNA from 1 species
GCAGCUCAGUGGUAGAGCGGAAGAUUGCAGUCUACGGAAUAAAUCUUCAGGUCAGGUGUUCGAACCACCUUCGGGACUU